rnacentral:rRNA from 1 species
GGGUGGUCUACGUGUAUAAUUGCACACAGCUGAGCGCACAAAACAGAUAUAACCGUGAGUCCAUUUUUGUCGAAACUUGAAAAAAAAUACAAAACUUUCAACAACGGAUCUCUUGGUUCUCGCAUCGAUGAAGAGCGCAGCGAAAUGCGAUACUCUUAGUGUGAAUUGCAGCCAUCCGUGAAUCAUCGAGUUCUUGAACGCACAUUGCGCCCGUCGGUAUUCCGGCGGGCAUGCCUGUCUGAGCGUCGUUUCCUUCUUGGAACUUUUGUUAAAGAAAGAUCCAGAGCUGGCCGUGCCACUGGCCCGGCCGAAAAGAAACGUUGCGGACGAAGCGAACUACAUCGGGACGCUUUGGCCGCCGAGCGAAAAUAUAUCAUUGAGCUCGACCUCAGAUCAGGUAGGAGUACCCGCUGAACUUAAGCAUAUCAAUAAGCGGAGGAACAUUACUGUGAAUUAACUUCCACACAUGCGUGAGCGCACAAAACACAUAAACCGUGAGUAAUUUUUGUCGAAACUUGAAAAAAAAAUACAAAACUUUCACAACGGAUCUCUGGUUUCGCUCGUGAAGAGCGCAGCGAAAUGCGAUACCUAGUGUGAAUUGAGCCUCGUGAAUCUCGAGUUCUUGAACGCACAUUGCGCCCUCGGUAUUCCGGCGGGCUGCCUGUCUGAGCGUCGUUUCUCUUGGACUUUUGUUAAGAAAAGUCAGAGCUGGGCCGUGCACUGGCCGGCGAAAAGAAACUUUGCGACGAACGACUACAUCGGACGCUUUGGCGCCGAGCGAAAUAUAUCAUUGAGCUCGACUCAGAUCAGGUAGGGAGUACCCGUGAACUAAGCUAUCAUAAGCGGAGGA